rnacentral:lncRNA from 1 species
GCCAGGCUGAUAAAACAUAUCUUUGGUAAAGUCAGAUCCCAUUUGAAUCUCUUUCCAAAGGUGGUCAGGAAAUUUUACUGGUGUUUUCAUAAGGUCAAUGGGAUAUAUGCAAAUUAAAGGUCAAGAACAUAUUAAAACUUAGACCAGGAUCUAAUAGCCAUCAUAAUCAAUAAUUAUAAGUAUAAAUAAAAUAAAAUAUGG